UUGGAUUAAAUAAAUAUGAGUCCUACAUUUUGGACAUGCAACUCACAUAAAGUGGUGAAAUAUACAUUGAUUUAAUCCAG
rnacentral:pre_miRNA from 1 species